CUGAUAAUCAAGGGUGUGGGACAUGUAGGCAGUAUGAGAAGGGGUUGAUGGAAGCUUACUGACUGGUCAAGGCAGUGCAAGAAGUUUAACCUGUCUGGAAAUAUGGGGACAAGAACUGGAAAGGGCAGUCUGUGCAUGAAGAUUCCAGGAGAAGCCUGAUGAUGGAAAACCUUAAAAUCACAUCGAGGAUCAGUACAAAGUAGCUGCAUGAAGAAUGGAUGGGAGAAUAAGAAGCUAUGGCAAUAACGACAGUUAGAAUAUAUCAAUGGGCAUGGAGGAGGAGGCUGUUGACCUGGGGGGAGUACCAAUAAAGUUGGACUAUGCAGAGGAAAGAACUCGGGGAUUUUAUAAAGUUAGAAUUGUCAGGACUUUGUCAUAAUUUCUUUCUUUUCUUUUCUUUUUUUUUUUUUUUGUAUUUUUAGUACAGAUGGGGUUUCACCAUGUUCGCCAGGAUGGUCUCGAUCUCCUGACCUCGUGAUCUGUCCACCUCUGCCUCCCAAAGUGCUGAGAUUACAGGUGUGAGCCACCACUCCCAGCCUUUGUCAUCAUUUCAGAUAGGGUGAAGGAAUGGUUUAAGUCGCCUCCAAGGUAUCUUGUUGGGGGUGAGGGGUACAGAGGGGUCUUACUGAAUGGUGAUGAAAAAGGGGACACAAGCGAAAAAUCAACAUUGGAGAAAAGAUAACUAAACCCUGGGAAGCUUAAGGAACAAAGUGUAACAAAACAACAUGGAUUGUUUUAUAAAAUACUUUGAGAUAUCCAGGAUUAAAAGUAUGAUAAAAAA
rnacentral:lncRNA from 1 species